rnacentral:lncRNA from 1 species
GGACCAGUCCACCACAAGGCAUCAGGAUGGUGAAAGCAACUGAGAAGAUGCACAAUCUGACACAGGAUGUUAUGUCAUCAACUUCGACAUCCAAACCAAAGAGAGGGACAAUCUGCCACAUACCAGAUGCUGUGCCAUCAACCUGGACUUCUGAACCCAAGACAGUGAAGAUCUGCUGUCAUCAGUCCAAGUCCAAAUGUAGCAAGAAGAUUAGAACGCCCAAGGUGCCUACCAGGAAGAGCAAGAAAACCCUGCGAAGGACGCUGAAAAAAAAGACAACUAAGAACAACAAUACAGCACCUAAACGGCGUUUCGACUUGUGAUUGAGAAUGCCGGUAGACUCAGCAUGCCACCUAAAGGAGUUGUGGCAUCUGAGCAAUGGCCAACUGUGUAGAUACUGUAUAGUUACUACACAGUUCUUUGAAUCUCAAAAUAAAAUCAAUCUGAUAUGAAAA